rnacentral:rRNA from 1 species
AGAGUUUGAUCAUGGCUCAGAAUCAACGCUGGCGGCGUGCCUAACACAUGCAAGUCGAACGGGAAAGCACCCUUCGGGGUGCGAGUAAAGUGGCGAACGGGUGAGUAACGCGUGGGUGAUCCACCCUUUGGAGGGGGAUAACCCGGGGAAACCCGGGCUAAUACCGCAUAAGCCUUAUUUUGUAAGUGAGAUAAGGGAAAGUCUUCGGGUGCCGAAGGAGGAGCCCGCGUCCGAUUAGCUAGUUGGUGAGGUAAGAGCUCACCAAGGCGACGAUCGGUAGCCGGUCUGAGAGGACGGACGGUCACACUGGGACUGAGACACGGCCCAGACUCCUACGGGAGGCAGCAGUGGGGAAUUUUGGGCAAUGGGCGGAAGCCUGACCAGCAACGCCGCGUGGAGGAUGAAGGUUUUCGGAUCGUAAACUCCUGUCUAGAGGGACGGAGUAAGUGACGGUACCUCUGGAGGAAGCCCCGGCUAACUCCGUGCCAGCAGCCGCGGUAAUACGGGGGGGGCGAGCGUUGUUCGGAAUUACUGGGCGUAAAGGGCGCGUAGGCGGUUUCGGAAGUCAUGGGUGAAAGUCCUCGGCUCAACCGAGGGAUUGCCUGUGAAACCACGGGACUGGAGUGCUGGAGAGGGAAGUGGAAUUCCCAGUGUAGCGGUGAAAUGCGUAGAUAUUGGGAGGAACACCUGUGGCGAAGGCGGCUUCCUGGACAGACACUGACGCUGAGGCGCGAAAGCCAGGGGAGCAAACGGGAUUAGAUACCCCGGUAGUCCUGGCUGUAAACGAUGAACACUUGGUGUGGGGGGUGAUGAAAGUCCCUCUGUGCCGGAGAGAACUCAUUAAGUGUUCCGCCUGGGGAGUACGGCCGCAAGGCUGAAACUCAAAGGAAUUGACGGGGGCCCGCACAAGCGGUGGAGCAUGUGGUUUAAUUCGACGCAACGCGAAGAACCUUACCGGGGUUUGAACUGCACCUGAGCGAUCUAGAGAUGGAGAGGUUCCCUUCGGGGACAGGUGCAGAGGUGCUGCAUGGCUGUCGUCAGCUCGUGUCGUGAGAUGUUGGGUUAAGUCCCGCAACGAGCGCAACCCUUGUCUGUAGUUGCCAUCAGGUAAAGCUGGGCACUCUACGGAGACUGUCGGCGAGAAGCCGGAGGAAGGUGGGGAUGACGUCAAGUCCUCAUGGCCUUUAUGUCCCGGGCUACACACGUGCUACAAUGGGCGGUACAGAGGGCAGCGACCCUGUGAAGGCAAGCGAAUCCCAGAAAACCGCUCUCAGUUCGGAUUGCAGUCUGCAACUCGACUGCAUGAAGUUGGAAUCGCUAGUAAUCGCGGAUCAGAACGCCGCGGUGAAUACGUUCCCGGGCCUUGUACACACCGCCCGUCACAUCACGAAAGUGGGCUGUACUAGAAGCCGCCGGCCUAACCUUAGGGAAGGAGGCGUCGACGGUAUGGCUCAUGAUUGGGGUGAAGUCGUAACAAGGUA